rnacentral:tRNA from 1 species
ACCUGGCUGGCUCAGUUGGUAGGGUGUGAGUCUCUUGAUCUCAGGGUCCUGAGUUUAAGCCCAGGUUAGGCA